rnacentral:sRNA from 1 species
CAAGAGAUCAGCCUGACUCUGCCUCCUGAGUGCUGGGAUUAAAGGUGAGUGUCACCAUGCUUGGCCACAGUUUAUAAUUCACUAUAACUCAUCUAAAGAUGGUUUCAAGGAUUCAGGAGGGUGUGCUAAUUAAAAACAUGCUACUUUAUCCAAGGGACUUGAGCACCCUCAGAUUCUGAUCUCUACAGGAGAUCUGACAUCGUGGACACCAAGGAGCUUCUGCGGGUGUUGAGAACUGCUCAGGAUCCUGGCUCUCCAUUGAGUCAGGCCUCCCUCACUUGCUCAGGAAUACAUGCCCACUGUAUCACAGUAAAACAAGAAUACAGGGGGUUGCUAUCUGUUCAUCUAGUGUGUCCCUGGGCUUACUACCCCUUCCUCUGUUCCAUACAUCAUUCUAAAAUGUUACUCUUGGGGCUGGGGAUUUAGCUCAGUGGUAGAGCGCUUACCUAGGAAGCGCAAGGCCCUGGGUUCGGUCCCCAGCUCCGAAAAAAAGAACCAAAAAAAAAAAAAAUGUUACUCUUGACCCAACAUGGGGUACCAGAGUUUGGCAGAAAAAGAAAUGAAAUAACAUGUAAUUUAUGUGUUCCCAGAGGAAAUGCUCUUUGGUCUGAAGCUGUCUGUGAGGACAAAGAUGUGGCAAGGAGCCUGCUGGUCCUCAUUGGUGGGUGGCAAGAAUGAUGACUUUUUAUAAAGCACUGGUCAGACUUAGAGUUUCUCAGGGUUGGGGAUUUAGCUCAGUGGUAGAGUGCUUGCCUAGCAA